AUGAAACCUCUACUUCAAUCCUCCUACUGCGUACAGUCGCCAAUGUCAACAGUUCUCAUCCACAUGAGCAUGGGCUUCAUGAUCCUGGCCGUGAUCCUGGCUCUAGUUCUCCUCCUGGCCAUGGGCUUCUCCUUCCGGCCAGCACUCCGCCGUCUUAACAAGACUGACCUCGUCUUCAGUACCCUCAGCUCCUUCACUGGAAUCCUGAGCUACUUAAACUACAUGGGCAUGUGGGGCAAAGGGACGUCCUCCACGGAACGGCGGAUGAGCUACCGCCGGUGGGCCUCGCUGCAGAACACCCGGAAGUCCAUAUCCGAACAGCUGUCGUCGGACGCAGGCUCCAAGCACGCCGAAAACUGAGGUAUAGUUUACUUA
rnacentral:lncRNA from 1 species